rnacentral:rRNA from 1 species
UACGUAGGGGGCAAGCGUUGUCCGGAAUCAUUGGGCGUAAAGAGCGUGUAGGCGGUCCGGUAAGUCGGCUGUGAAAGUCCAGGGCUCAACCCUGGGAUGCCGGUCGAUACUGCCGGACUAGAGUUCGGAAGAGGCGAGUGGAAUUCCCGGUGUAGCGGUGAAAUGCGCAGAUAUCAGGAAGAACACCCGUGGCGGAGGCGGCUCUCUGGUACGGAACUGACGCUGAGACGCGAAAGCGUGGGGAGCGAACAGG